rnacentral:rRNA from 1 species
UACGUAGGGAGCAAGCGUUAUCCGGAUUUAUUGGGUUUAAAGGGUGCGUAGGCGGACUGUCAAGUCAGCGGUAAAAUUGAGAGGCUCAACCUCUUCCCGCCGUUGAAACUGGUGGUCUUGAGUGGAUGAGAAGUACGCGGAAUGCGUGGUGUAGCGGUGAAAUGCAUAGAUAUCACGCAGAACUCCGAUUGCGAAGGCAGCGUACCGGCAUCCAACUGACGCUGAGGCACGAAAGCGUGGGGAUCAAACAGG